rnacentral:rRNA from 1 species
CAAUAGCGUAUAUUAAAGUUGUUGCAGUUAAAAAGCUCGUAGUUGGACUUGUGGCGUACGGUGUGUUCCGGGCACUUGUUGUCUGAGUAACCUGCUGUUGCCAUCCUUGGGUGGAACCUGUGUGGCAUUAGGUUGUCGUGCAGGGGAUGCCCAUCAUUUACUGUGAAAAAAUUAGAGUGUUCAAAGCAGGCUUAUGCCGUUGAAUAUAUUAGCAUGGAAUAAUGAGAUAGGACUUUCUUGCUAUUUUGUUGGUUUGCGCAAAGAGGUAAUGAUUAAUAGGGACAGUUGGGGGUAUUCGUAUUCCAUUGUCAGAGGUGAAAUUCUUGGAUUUUUGGAAGACGAACUACUGCGAAAGCAUUUACCAAGGAUGUUUUCAUUAA